rnacentral:snRNA from 1 species
AUACCUUUCUCGGCCUUUUGGCUAAGAUCAAGUGUAGUAUCUGUUCUUAUCAGUUUAAUAUCUGAUAUGUGGGUCAAUGAUCCACUCGAUAUUAAAUUCAUUUUUCUAGGGGGAAAGCCCACCACAGUAGCUUGCUACUGGGGCUCUCGCGCGUCGCCCAAGCGUUGCACUACUGCUCGGGCCUGGCGCACCCCAC